GGUCCUGUAGCGGAUGGUUCCGCGCCUGCAUCUAAUGGAUCCUCUUCGUACCCCGAAUUCUGCAGGAAAUUGCUCGUUCGAAUCGAGCCUGGGCCA